GACGAACGCUGGCGGCGUGCUUAACACAUGCAAGUCGAACGGAGUGUCGAACGGGUGAGUAACACGUCGGUGAUCUGCCUUGCACUUCGGGAUAAGCUUGGGAAACUGGUUCUAAUACCGGCUUUUGCAAGAUGAGCUCGCGGCCUAUCUGCUUGGUGGUGGGGUAAUGGCCUACCAAGGGGUCGACGGGUAGCCGGCCUGUGAGGGUGUACGGGAACAUUGGGACUGCGAUACGGCGCAGACGCCAACGGGGGGCAGCGGUGGGGAAUAUUGCACAAUGGGCGGAAGCCUGAGGCAGCGACGCUGCGUGGGGGAUGAAGGCCUUCGGGGGGUAAACUCCGUUCGACAGGGACGCGGUACCUGUAGAAGAAGCACCGGCUAACUACGUGCCAGCAGCCGCGGUAAUUC
rnacentral:rRNA from 1 species